GAGAGUUCGCCCGAGUGGUCAAGGGGGUGGACUCAAAAUCCACUAGGCACCGUCCGCGUGGGUUCGAACCCCUCAGCACUCA
rnacentral:tRNA from 1 species